rnacentral:piRNA from 1 species
UGAGCAACAGUAAAUAUGAAAGGAUGAAACGC